rnacentral:rRNA from 1 species
UCCCAUUCCGAACACGGCAGUUAAGCUCUUCAGCGCCGAUGGUAGUUGGGGGUUUCCCCCUGUGAGAGUAGGACGCCGCCAAGC